rnacentral:rRNA from 1 species
CUCCUAAAUGUUCUGGGCGACACGCGCACUACAAUGACAAAGUGAAUGAGCGAAACCUUUUCGGUCCUGUCUCGAAAGGGAUGGGGAAACUGAGAAAACUAUGUCGUGCUUGGGAUCGAAGCUUGGAAUUAUUCUUCUUGAACGAGGAAUGCCUAGUAGAUGUGCUUCAUCAAAGCGCAUUGACUACGUCCCUGCCAUUUGUACACACCGCCCGUCGUUGUUACCGAUGCCAGUUGGAUACAGGUUAACGGACGCUCGACAGCUUGCUGUUGGUGAAAGUUAACCUAUAUUUAACUAGUAGAGGAAGCAAAAGUCGUAACA